UCUUUUUUUUUUUUUUUGCUGUUGCUCCAGGAGACAUCCAAUGGGACAUGGGAGUAAGCAAGAGUGUUGGUCACAGUUCUGGUACUAUGUGCUAGAAGACAUUUUGAUAGAAAUAUCAGCCAUUGAGACCAAAUUAGUCCAUUUUGGUUUUCAAGAAUGAAAGACAGGAGCCAGAGUGGCUGCACCAAAACAUGGAAAGCAGUCUCUGUGAUGUUCCAGAUGAUCUCCAUUUCAAUAGUCCUCUCACUUUGUCAUCAGAAAAUUUUGACUAUAUGUGCCAAUUCUGUGAAGAAGAUUCAAGAGCCAAUAAAGGACUUGGGAAC
rnacentral:lncRNA from 1 species